CGGAGGGAAACCGAGUCUUAACCGGGCGUUAAGUUGCAGGGUAUAGACCCGAAACCCGGUGAUCUAGCCAUGGGCAGGUUGAAGGUUGGGUAACACUAACUGGAGGACCGAACCGACUAAUGUUGAAAAAUUAGCGGAUGACCUGUGGCUGGGGGUGAAAGGCCAAUCAAACCGGGAGAUAGCUGGUUCUCCCCGAAAGCUAUUUAGGUAGCGCCUCGUGAAUUCAUCUCCGGGGGUAGAGCACUGUUUCGGCUAGGGGGCCAUCCCGGCUUACCAACCCGAUGCAAACUGCGAAUACCGGAGAAUGUUAUCACGGGAGACACACGGCGGGUGCUAACGUCCGUCGUGAAGAGGGAAACAACCCAGACCGCCAGCUAAGGUCCCAAAGUCAUGGUUAAGUGGGAAACGAUGUGGGAAGGCCCAGACAGCCAGGAUGUUGGCUUAGAAGCAGCCAUCAUUUAAAGAAAGCGUAAUAGCUCACUGGUCGAGUCGGCCUGCGCGGAAGAUGUAACGGGGCUAAACCAUGCACCGAAGCUGCGGCAGCGACACUAUGUGUUGUUGGGUAGGGGAGCGUUCUGUAAGCCUGCGAAGGUGGCCUGUGAGGGUUGCUGGAGGUAUCAGAAGUGCGAAUGCUGACAUAAGUAACGAUAAAGCGGGUGAAAAGCCCGCUCGCCGGAAGACCAAGGGUUCCUGUCCAACGUUAAUCGGGGCAGGGUGAGUCGACCCCUAAGGCGAGGCCGAAAGGCGUAGUCGAUGGGAAACGGGUUAAUAUUCCCGUACUUGGUGUUACUGCGAAGGGGGGACGGAGAAGGCUAUGUUGGCCGGGCGACGGUUGUCCCGGUUUAAGCGUGUAGGUGUGUGUUCCAGGUAAAUCCGGUU
rnacentral:rRNA from 1 species